rnacentral:rRNA from 1 species
GAUGAACGCUGGCGGCGUGCUUAACACAUGCAAGUCGAACGAAGCAUUUAGGACAGAUUACUUCGGUUUGAAGUUCUUUAUGACUGAGUGGCGGACGGGUGAGUAACGCGUGGGUAACCUGCCUUGUACUGGGGGAUAGCAGCUGGAAACGGCUGGUAAUACCGCAUAAGCGCACAAUGAUGCAUGACAUGGUGUGAAAAACUCCGGUGGUAUAAGAUGGACCCGCGUCUGAUUAGCUAGUUGGUGAGAUAACAGCCCACCAAGGCGACGAUCAGUAGCCGACCUGAGAGGGUGACCGGCCACAUUGGGACUGAGACACGGCCCAGACUCCUACGGGAGGCAGCAGUGGGGAAUAUUGCACAAUGGAGGAAACUCUGAUGCAGCGACGCCGCGUGAGUGAAGAAGUAAUUCGUUAUGUAAAGCUCUAUCAGCAGGGAAGAUAGUGACGGUACCUGACGAAGAAGCUCCGGCUAAAUACGUG